rnacentral:rRNA from 1 species
AUGUACGCGGCCGCGCGCCGCCUCCUCUCCACCCGCGCCUGCGCCGCCGCCGCCGCGCGCGCGUCCCCUGUGGCCUCGCGAGCGCCCUCCUGCUACUCCGCGGCGCAGUCCAAGCCGCCGCCGCCGCGGUUCCCCACGCCCAAGGAGAUCCGCCGGGGCCUGGACCAGUACGUCGUCGGCCAAGACAAGGCCAAAAAGGUGCUCUGCGUCGCCGUGCACAACCACUACAAGAGGAUAUACAGCGAGCCCUCCACCAAGAGCUCAUCGCAAACCUCGGCGGCCGAUGAUGAUACUGAGCUCGAAAAGAGUAACAUCCUUCUGCUUGGGCCAACUGGAUCAGGUAAAACACUUCUAGCAAAAACGCUGGCUCGCUUUGCGAAUGUGCCCUUCGUGAUUGCUGAUGCAACAGCAAUUACACAGGCUGGGUACUCUGGGGAAGAUGUGGAAUCAAUCGUCUACAAACUUCUAGUGGCUGCUGACUUCGAUGUCGAAGCUGCAGAGCGUGGCAUCAUCUACAUUGAUGAAGUUGAUAAGCUCGCAAAGAAGCUCGGUUGCCAGGAGGACCGGAGGGAUGUCUCUGGAGAGGGUGUCCAGCAAGCACUCUUAAAGAUGUUUGAGGGAACGGUGUUCAGUGUGCCAAGGAAGAGAAGUCAAAAUGGCAUGUCUCAUGGUUGUGUGGAGGUUGAUACAACAAACAUACUCUUCAUUUGUGGAGGUGCCUUCUCUGACUUGGGAAAGAUUGUCUCAGAAAGACUUCACCGCUGUCCUUUUGGUUUUGGAACACCAAUACGUCAUGAAUUGGGGGAUUAUGCUUUGACGAAUGCUCUUGGGCAAUCCGGCUUGCUUGAAGAGAUCGAGAAUGACGAUCUGAUUGCCUAUGGCCUGACACCAGAAUUUAUUGGGAGGUUGCCAAUAAUAGUUGGCUUGACUCAUCUCACUGAAGAUCAACUGGUUCAGGUUCUCAGAGAGCCAAAGAACGCAAUAGGCAAGCAAUACAAGAAAUUGUUCAAGAUGAAUGAUGUAAAAUUGCAUAUUACUGAAAACGCUUUGAGGCUAAUAGCAAAGAAAGCAGCUGUGAGGGAAACCGGAGCGAGAGGCCUACGAUCAAUAAUGGAGGGCAUUUUGACAGAAGCAAUGUUUGAGAUCCCCGAUGACGCAGGAGAGGGGAAAGAGAAGAUAAUCGUUGUUCUUGUUGAUGAAGAAUCCGUAGGGACACCAACCCGUCGAGGCUGCGGAGCCAAGAUUUUCCGAGACGAUGGAGCCCUAGAACUAUAUGUUUACCAAAACAAUAUCAGGGUGCCUGGGCUGAUUCAGAGGCCAAAAUGCAGUAUCAUUUGCCGGCUAUGCCUUCUGGUAGCCUUUUCAGCAGCUAAGCUGUGGGUUUAUCAUACGUUUGAUUGUUUCUCCUCAAUAUACGCGUGGAUUAUAUUGAUACUGUGUAAGGCAAACAUUUUCACAGAAUGA